rnacentral:tRNA from 1 species
GGGAAGGUGGCUCAGUGGUAGAGCACUUGCCUUGCAUGCAUGAGGCCCUGGGUUCAAUUCCUCACCUCA